UGAUUCCUUUCUGUGACCAGACAGUUAACACGUGGAAAGAUCUCUAAAUUCACUUUUGUGCUCUGUUGGUUUUCCCUCAUUUUAUUUUCUUUUUUACAAAGAAAAUGCCUUACAUUGUUUACGGAAAUACAAUUGCAUAAGGAGGUAAAACUGAAUGUAAGUUAGCAUGUUCUUGGCUGAUAUCACUAUUAAAGUUUCCACUUUGACCUAUGCUUCGAAUUACUUAUGGGGUGAGGUUGCUGGGAGGCACUCAGAAUCCUUAUUUAAAAUAAACAGGGAAAUAUUUAGUUAUGAGAUAUCACAUAACAAUAGUUUAUUUAGUGCUUGAAUUGUUGGGCGAAGAAAACUUUGCCGGUUAAGGAGAAGUAGGCAAGGCUUUUUAUAAGAAAAGACUAUUAACUAAAUAGGUCUAAGGUACCUUUUACAUUACAGGUGAGUUACAAGAAGUACUAAUUAGAGUCUCUGUCUAGAUUAAUUUAAAAGAAUUAUUUACUGAGCCUUGAAACACUUAAUUGGAGAUUGAAUGAGUCAACAGCCUUGGUGGUGCCCAACAAUAAUAUUGGGACAUUAGCAUAGAGAUUUUUGAUACUACCCCCCCCCCCCC